GACGAACGCUGGCGGCGUGCUUAACACAUGCAAGUCGAACGGAAAGGCCUCUUUCGGGGGGUACUCGAGUGGCGAACGGGUGUGUAACACGUGAGUAACCUGCCCUUGACUUUGGGAUAACUUCAGGAAACUGGGGCUAAUACCGGAUAGGAGCUCCUGCUGCAUGGUGGGGGUUGGAAAGUUUCGGCGGUUGGGGAUGGACUCGCGGCUUAUCAGCUUGUUGGUGGGGUAGUGGCUUACCAAGGCUUUGACGGGUAGCCGGCCUGAGAGAGUGACCGGCCACAUUGGGACUGAGAUACGGCCCAGACUCCUACGGGAGGCAGCAGUGGGGAAUAUUGCACAAUGGGUGGAAGCCUGAUGCAGCAACGCCGUGUGCGGGAUGACGGCCUUCGGGUUGUAAACCGCUUUCGCUCAUGACGAAGCUUUGUGUGACGGUAGUGGGUAAAGAAGCACCGGCUAACUACGUG
rnacentral:rRNA from 1 species